GACGAGGGAUCCUAGCGUUGCUCGGAAUUAUUGGGCGUAAAGCGGGUGUAGGUGGCUUGGUAAGUCGGGUGUGAAAGCCCAGGGCUCAACCCUGGAAGUGCAUUCGAUACUGCUGAGCUUGAGUGCGAGAGAGGUUAAUAGAAUACCUGGUGUAGUGGUGAAAUACGUAGAUAUCAGGUGGAACACCGGAGGCGAAGGCGGUUAACUGGCUCGACACUGACACUGAGACCCGAAAGUGCGGGGAUCAAACAGG
rnacentral:rRNA from 1 species